rnacentral:rRNA from 1 species
ACACGUAGGGACCAAGCGUUGUCCGGAUUUAUUGGGCGUAAAGAGCUCGUAGGCGGUUCGGUAAGUCGGGUGUGAAAACUCCGGGCUCAACUCGGAGAUGCCACUCGAUACUGCUGUGACUCGAGUCCGGUAGGGGAGUGGUGAAUUCCUGGUGUAGCGGUGAAAUGCGCAGAUAUCAGGAGGAACACCGGUGGCGAAGGCGCCACUCUGGGCCGGUACUGACGCUGAGGAGCGAAAGCGUGGGUAGCAAACAG